CCUACGGGAGGCAGCAGUGAGGAAUAUUGGUCAAUGGACGCAAGUCUGAACCAGCCAAGCAGCGUGAAGGAAGACGGCGCUACGAGUGGUAAAAUGCUGUUGUAAGGGGGUAAACGGAGAUACGUGUACCUGUCUGAAAGUACCGUACGAAUAAGGAUCGGCUAACUCCGUGCCAGCAGCCGCGGUAAUACGGAGGAUCCAAGCGUUAUCCGGAUUUAUUGGGUUUAAAGGGUGCGUAGGCGGUCGGUUAAGUUAGAGGUGAAAUCCCGCGGCUCAACUUCGGAAUUGCCUGUGAUACUGUUCGGCUAGAGUGUAGUUGCGGUAGGCGGAAU
rnacentral:rRNA from 1 species